UAAGAAGAAACCAAGAAAUACCUCUUAAGUAGUAAGCAGUGGACGAGUUCUCACGGGUUGGUUGGAGCCGAAAAUAAACCCCGUAUUUAACCACGAUCUCGGGCCUCGUGUACUACUUGGGAGCUACAGUGAGAACUCGACUGCUCUGCAUGAGUAGCCGAGGAGGACGUCACCAGACGGCAGCAGCCGAGAAGAGACGAACCAUAUCCAUGCUGCGUGUGUAUCUUCUACCACCACCUACGCCGAAACACAAGAAGAGCAAGCCCACAGGAAGGCCCAGGUGCCCCUAGUGUUAAUAUUGCUGCUAAGAAAAAACUCGUGUUUUGCACAAGAGACUGAUAUAUUAUCUACAUUUUCAUUUAAUAAGUUGAUGUUGUUAUUUUCUACAACUAAAGGACUUUAAGUGUUUUGCACAAGAGACUGAGAUAUAAUGUGCAUUUCUGUUACUUAACAAGUGUUUAAUGCAUAUGUAACUUACCUGUGGAAGAGUUGAUACCUUUAUUUGUCUAAUUAUCACUCAU